rnacentral:rRNA from 1 species
GACGAACCGUCCAAACGUUAUUCGGAAUUACUGGGCUUAAAGGGUGCGUAGGCGGCGCGGAAAGUUGGGUGUGAAAUCCCUCGGCUUAACCGAGGAACUGCGCCCAAAACUACCGUGCUCGAGGGAGAUAGAGGUGAGCGGAACUUAGGGUGGAGCGGUGAAAUGCGUUGAUAUCCUAAGGAACACCGGUGGCGAAAGCGGCUCACUGGGCCGAUACUGACGCUGAGGAGCGAAAGCGUGGGGAGCGAACAGG